AGUGAACGCUGGCGGUAGGCCUAACACAUGCCAGUCGAACGGCAGCACAGUAAGAGCUUGCUCUUACGGGUGGCGAGUGGCGGACGGGUGAGGAAUACAUCGGAAUCUACUUUUUCGUGGGGGAUAACGUAGGGAAACUUACGCUAAUACCGCAUACGACCUACGGGUGAAAGCAGGGGAUCUUCGGACCUUGCGCGAUUGAAUGAGCCGAUGUCGGAUUAGCUAGUUGGCGGGGUAAAGGCCCACCAAGGCGACGAUCCGUAGCUGGUCUGAGAGGAUGAUCAGCCACACUGGAACUGAGACACGGUCCAGACUCCUACGGGAGGCAGCAGUGGGGAAUAUUGGACAAUGGGCGCAAGCAUGAUCCAGCCAUACCGCGUGGGUGAAGAAGGCCUUCGGGUUGUAAAGCCCUUUUGUUGGGAAAGAAAAGCAGCAGGUUAAUACCCCGCUGUUCUGACGGUACCCAAAGAAUAAGCACCGGCUAACUUCGUG
rnacentral:rRNA from 1 species